rnacentral:lncRNA from 1 species
CAAAGGAUCACCCCGAUCCCAAAGGAUCACCCCCAUCCCAAAGGAUCACCCCGAUCCCAAAGCUCAGCCCGGGGACCCCCCUUAUUCCCAUGGGCCACCCCAAUUCUCACUGGCCCCAUUCCCUGUUCCCAAUCCCUCAUUGCCACUGGGAAGCGCCAUUCCCAUUCUCUGCUCCCGUUCUCCAUUCCCGUUCCCAAUCCUGUUCCUAUUCCCCGUUCCUAACCCCGUUCCUGUUCUCAAUCCCAUUCCCCAAUCCCGUUCCCAUUCCCGUUCCCAUUCCUGAUCCCGUUCCCGUUCCCAAUCCCAUUCCCAAUCCUGUUCCUGUUCACAAUCCUGUUCCCAAUCCCAUUCCCGAUCCCGUUCCCGUUCCUAAUCCCGUUCUCAAUCCCAUUCCCAUUCCCGAUCCCAAUCCCAAUCCCAUUCCCGUUCCCGAUCCCGUUCCCGAGCAGUGGAGCGCCGGCGCCGGGACAAGAUCAACAACUGGAUCGUGCAGCUGUCCAAGAUCAUCCCCGACUGCUCCAUGGAGAACACCAAGUCUGGACAGGAGCUGCGGCAGAGCAACCUGCGGCUGAGCGAGGAGCUGCAGGGCCUGGACCAGCUGCAGAUGGACAACGAGGUCCUGCGGCAGCAGGUGGGGCUGGGGCAGGGAACGGGACUGGGAACGGGAUUGGGAAUGGGAUUGGGGUCAUUGGGGUCAUGGGAAUGGGACUGGGGUCAUUGGGGUCAUGGGAAUGGGAUUGGGAUCAAUGGGACCAGCUACAGAUGGACAACGAGGUCCUGCGGCAGCAGGUGGGGCUGGGGCAGGGAGUGGGACUGGGAACGGGAUUGGGAAUGGGAUUGGGGUCAUUGGGGUCAUGGGAACGGGAUUGGGAAUGGGAUUGGGGUCAUGGGAAUGGGAUUGGGGUCAUUGGGGUCAUGGGAAUGGGAUUGGGAUCAUUGGGAUCAGUGGGGUGGGAUUGGGGUCACUGGGAUCCAUGGGGUGGGAUUGGGGUCAGUGGAAUCAAUGGGAUCAGUGGGAUGGGAUUGGGAUCAAUGGGAUCAAUGGGAUCAAUGGGAUGGGAUUGGGAUCAGUGGGAUC